CGCAUCUGUGCAUGCAGCAUAUCAAUAAGCGGAGGAAAAGAAACUAACAAGGAUUCCCCUAGUAACGGCGAGUGAAGCGGGAAGAGCUCAAAUUUGAAAUCUUAAAGGGUUUCCCUUUACGAAUUGUAGUUUAAAGAAGUGUUUUCUGUUGAGGUUUUGGUAAAAGUUCUUUGGAAUAGGACAUCAUAGAGGGUGAGAAUCCCGUAUUUGACCUUUACUUUCAACUUUGUGAUACACUUUCAAAGAGUCGGAUUGUUUGGGAAUGCAGUCCAAAAUGGGUGGUAAAUUUCAUCUAAAGCUAAAUAUUGGCGAGAGACCGAUAGCGAACAAGUACCGUGAGGGGAAGAUGAAAAGAACUUUGAAAAGAGAGUUAAACAGUACGUGAAAUUGUCAAAAGGGAAGCGUUUGACACCAGUGUUGUUUUUCUGAAAAUCAAUUAAAGAACUGUUUAUGCUAAGUUGUUUAGACUUUAUCAGCUAACUGUUUAGUUUUGAGCUUUUCCUUAAUGCACUUUUCAGUUAACAAGUCAACAUCAAUUUCUUUUGCUGUAAAAAAGCUUGAGGAAGGUGGCUUGAGAUUCGUCUUAAGUGUUUAUAGCCUCUUGCCUAUGCAGUCGGAGAGAUUGAGGUCUGCAGCGUAGAUCCUUCGGGGCUAAAUGCAUUUGUGCUAAGUUAUAACAUUUUAUAGACAACUUGUUGACUAUGAUUUGUCUUGUAGCUUACUCGCUUAUGUUAUUUUACCUACGCUUAGGAUGUUGACAGCAGUAUAGACUGU
rnacentral:rRNA from 1 species